rnacentral:rRNA from 1 species
GAUGAACGCUGGCGGCGUGCCUAAUACAUGCAAGUCGAGCGAACAGACGAGGAGCUUGCUCCUCUGACGUUAGCGGCGGACGGGUGAGUAACACGUGGAUAACCUACCUAUAAGACUGGGAUAACUUCGGGAAACCGGAGCUAAUACCGGAUAAUAUAUUGAACCGCAUGGUUCAAUAGUGAAAGACGGUUUUGCUGUCACUUAUAGAUGGAUCCGCGCCGUAUUAGCUAGUUGGUAAGGUAACGGCUUACCAAGGCAACGAUGCGUAGCCGACCUGAGAGGGUGAUCGGCCACAAUGGAACUGAGACACGGUCCAGACUCCUACGGGAGGCAGCAGUAGGGAAUCUUCCGCAAUGGGCGAAAGCCUGACGGAGCAACGCCGCGUGAGUGAUGAAGGUCUUCGGAUCGUAAAACUCUGUUAUUAGGGAAGAACAAAUGUGUAAGUAACUAUGCACGUCUUGACGGUACCUAAUCAGAAAGCCACGGCUAACUACGUG